rnacentral:rRNA from 1 species
GACAGAAGGUGCAAGCGUUACUCGGAAUUACUGGGCGUAAAGCGUCUGUAGGUGUCUUGCCACGUCCGGCCAUAAAUUGCGGGGCUCAACCCCGCAUCCUGGCUAGAAACGAGCGAGAUCGAGUCAUUCAGAGGCAUCUGGAAUGUCGUGUGUAGGGGUAAAAUCCGUAGAUACACGAUGGAACGCCGAAAGCGAAAGCAGGAUGCUGGGAAUGUACUGACACUCAGAGACGAAAGCGUGGGGAGCAAAGGGG